GAUGAACGCUGGCGGCGUGCCUAAUACAUGCAAGUCGAGCGAACAGACGAGGAGCUUGCUCCUCUGACGUUAGCGGCGGACGGGUGAGUAACACGUGGAUAACCUACCUAUAAGACUGGGAUAACUUCGGGAAACCGGAGCUAAUACCGGAUAAUAUGUUGAACGGCAUGGUUCAAUAGUGAAAGACGGUUUUGCUGUCACUUAUAGAUGGAUCCGCGCCGCAUUAGCUAGUUGGUAAGGUAACGGCUUACCAAGGCAACGAUGCGUAGCCGACCUGAGAGGGUGAUCGGCCACACUGGAACUGAGACACGGUCCAGACUCCUACGGGAGGCAGCAGUAGGGAAUCUUCCGCAAUGGGCGAAAGCUUGACGGAGCAACGCCGCGUGAGUGAUGAAGGUCUUCGGAUCGUAAAACUCUGUUAUUAGGGAAGAACAAAUGUGUAAGUAACUAUGCACGUCUUGACGGUACCUAAUCAGAAAGCCACGGCUAACUACGUG
rnacentral:rRNA from 1 species